UUUGUAGCCAUUCUCUUUACCUGGAAAGUAAGGAAUUCCACAAAUGUCCUUCAGAAGCAUUGACUAGCAUGGAAUGACUACUCGGCUAUAAGCCAGGAUAAAGAAUACAUGUUCUUAAGCUUUAGCAGGCAUGGCCGCCCAGUGAGUUCCACGCACACUUAGGUAUUUGGAAAGUUGUUUGUUGCCCAGCUGCUGAACUGAUGGAGUCAGGGAUCACUGGCCACUCUGCCCACAGUCAACUCCGAACCCACCUUCUGCAAGAAUGCGUUGUCCAAACAGGCUGUGGAGCAGCUACACUUGAACCUGGCCCCCAGAAACCAGGCCUUCCUGGGGCAUCGGCCAACAGAGGCUUCGUGGGGAUUUGGCAGGCAACUGCUCGGACCCAGAAUCUGUCGGCUCCACACACACAGUGGGGAUGCCCACUCUCUGGGACGAUGUGACCAAUUCAGAUGCAAUCUGGCACGGGGACUCCGUGGAUGGGCUCAUGAGCUGUCACCUGAUA